ACGUCUUGCCGCGCUGCGGUAGCUGCUGCAAGGCGCGGUGGUAAUUGACCGGUUCACGGGCAUAGACGCGCCCAAUAGCGGCCGUCAAGCGCCGAACAUUCGACUUCGGUCGCCAGCAAAGCUUUCACCCGCGCGGCGGAAAAAACUGUUCGUCACCYAGMCSRMSAYYAGCGWRAURAWSYGGMRKMWGGUGGGGANNUGACGUCAAGUCAUCAUGGCCCUUACGAGUAGGGCNUACACACGUGCUACAAUGGCGUAUACAAAGAGAAGCGACCUCGCGAGAGCAAGCGGACCUCAUAAAGUACGUCGUAGUCCGGAUUGGAGUCUGCAACUCGACUCCAUGAAGUCGGAAUCGCUAGUAAUCGUAGAUCAGAAUGCUACGGUGAAUACGUUCCCGGGCCUUGUACACACCGCCCGUCACACCAUGGGAGUGGGUUGCAAAAGAAGUAGGUAGCUUAACCUUCGGGAGGGCGCUUACCACUUUGUGAUUCAUGACUGGGGUGAAGUCGUAACAAGGUAACCGUAGGGGAACCUGCGGUUGGAUCACCUCCUUA
rnacentral:rRNA from 1 species